AAUUUAAUUCAUACAUAUUUAAUGCACUAGGUCCCAUUAGAACUCCAAAUUUAAGCGUGCUUGGGCAAGAGUAGUAUUGGGAUGGGUGACCUCCUGGUACUUUACAUGCCUAUGAAAUUU
rnacentral:rRNA from 1 species